AGUUCGGAUCAGAUCAUGGUCCUCUGUGGGCAUCUUACUAGACAGUGCUGGAUUGCACUGCUAGGUUCUAACACUGUCUGGUAACGAUGUUUAAAGAGUGUUCCACAAUCAACAGCCACUG
rnacentral:pre_miRNA from 17 species